rnacentral:sRNA from 1 species
GACCGUUAUGGAAUAACCGCUUCAAAUAUGAUAUCAGAUAUGGGAUAUUUUCCUAAUCCCAUAUCUGAUAUCAUAUUUGAAGCGGUUAUUCC